AUGCCUUCAGCCUUGGCCAUCUUCACUUGCCGCCCGAACUCCCACCCGUUUCAGGAGCGUCAUGUCUACCUGGACGAGCCCGUCAAGAUCGGCCGCUCCGUGGCUCGCUGCCGGCCAGCCCAGAACAACGCCACGUUUGACUGCAAGGUGCUGUCCAGGAACCAUGCUCUUGUCUGGUUUGAUCACAAGACAGGCAAGUUCUAUCUUCAAGACACUAAAAGUAGUAAUGGUACCUUUAUUAAUAGUCAGAGACUGAGUAGAGGAUCUGAGGAAAGCCCACCAUGUGAAAUUAUGUCAGGUGACAUCAUCCAGUUUGGUGUAGAUGUGACGGAGAACACGCGGAAAGUUACCCAUGGAUGUAUAGUCUCCACAAUCAAACUGUUCCUUCCAGAUGGAAUGGAAGCUCGAUUGCGAUCAGAUGUUAUCCAUGCACCAUUACCAAGUCCUGUUGACAAGGUUGCUGCUAACACUCCCAGUAUGUAUUCUCAGGAAUUGUUUCAGCUUUCACAGUAUCUACAAGAAGCCUUACAUCGGGAACAAAUGUUGGAACAGAAGCUGGCAACCCUUCAGCGACUACUUGCUGUCACACAAGAGGCUUCAGAUACUAGUUGGCAGGCUUUAAUAGAUGAAGACAGGCUGCUAUCAAGACUAGAGGUUAUGGGAAAUCAGUUACAAGCUUGUUCAAAGAAUCAAACAGAAGACAGUAUACGAAAAGAGCUUAUAGCAUUACAGGAAGACAAACACAACUAUGAGACAACAGCCAAAGAGUCCCUGAGGCGGGUCCUUCAGGAGAAAAUUGAAGUGGUCAGAAAAUUAUCUGAAGUGGAGCGGAGUUUAAGUAAUACAGAAGAUGAAUGUACACACCUGAAAGAAAUGAAUGAGAGGACUCAGGAAGAAUUAAGGGAAUUAGCUAAUAAGUACAAUGGAGCUGUAAAUGAAAUUAAAGAUCUUUCUGACAAGCUAAAGGUAGCAGAAGGAAGACAAGAAGAAAUCCAACAAAAAGGACUGGCUGAGAAAAAGGAAUUGCAGCAUAAAAUAGAUGAAAUGGAAGAAAGAGAGCAAGAGCUUCAAGCAAAAAUAGAAGCUUUGCAGGCUGAUAAUGACUUCACCAAUGAGCGGCUGACUGCUUUACAAGUACGGUUAGAACACCUGCAAGAGAAAACUCUUAAAGAACACAACAGCUUAGGCAUACAAGUUGACGACUUCAUACCUAAAAUUAAUGGGAGCACAGAGAAAGAGCACUUUCUUUCAAAGAGUGGAGGGGACUGCACUUUUAUUCAUCAGUUCAUAGAAUGUCAGAACAAGAUCAUAGAUGAAGGACAUCUAACCAAAGUGGAAGAAACAAAGCUUUUGAAAGAAAACCAAGCACGAGUCAAAGAAUCGAACGAUUUGUCUGACACCCUUAGCCCAAGCAAGGAAAAAAGCAGCGACGACACUACAGAUGCUCAAAUGGAUGACCAAGAUCUAAAUGAACCUAUUGUCAAAGUAGCUCUUCUAAAAGAUGAAUUGCAGGGUGCACAAUCAGAGACUGAGGCUAAGCAAGAAAUUCAGCAACUGCACAAGGAGCUGGUUGAAGCCCAAGAGCUAGCUAGGACAAGUAAACAAAAAUGCUUUGAACUUCAAGCUCUCUUAGAAGAAGAGAGAAAAGCAUAUCGAGUGCAAGUUGAAGAAUCCAACAAGCAAAUAAAUGCUCUGCAAGCUCAGUUGCGAAGGUUGCAAGAAGAAAUUGAGAAUCUUCGCAAGGAGAAGGAGAAUGAAAUUUCAACCACUCGAAAUGAACUAGUCAGUGCUCAAAAUGAGAUUCUGUCACUUCAAAAAGUAGCAGAAAAAGCAGCCUCAGAACGAGACACAGAUAUUUCUACCUUGCAAGCUGAGCUGCAGACGGUGCGAGCGGAGCUUGACCGGUGGAGGAAAGAUGCCUCGGAUUAUGAAAAAGAAAUUGUCACUCUGCAGUCCAGCUUCCGGCUCAAAUGCCAGCAGUGCGAGGAGCAGCAGAGGGAAGAGGCCUCUCGCCUCAAAGAUGAACUUGAAAAGUUGAAGGCAGAGUGGAUUGCUCUGGAAGCUGAAUGUGUUAAACUAAGGAAGGAAAAUACUUCACUUACAUCUGAACUUCAGCGACAAGAGAAGGAGCUUUCUAGCUCUCAGAAGCAGAGUUUAGCACUAACCAGCGAUAUAAGUGUUCUUGAAAUGUCUCGGAAGGAACUUGAAAAUCAGAUGGGAUCUUUGAAAGAAAAACAUCAACGGGAUGCAGCCAGUCUGAAAACUCAACUCAGUGAAGCUGAAAGUCAAGCAAAAGAUUUUCAGAAAGAGUAUGAAAGAACACAGACUGUGCUCUCGGAGCUGAAGGCAAAGUAUGAGGUGGCUGAACAACAAAACCAGUCACUCACCGAGGAGCUCAAACAAUGUAAAGAAAACCUGAAGCUGCUACAAGAAAAAGGAAACAAUCCUUCCAUAUUACAACCCGUCCCAGCCGUAUUCAUCGGCCUAAUCCUGGCUUUCCUGUAUUGGUGUUACGGCCCAUUGUGGUAGCGAAAGCCUUGACUUGGCAUGAGCGAUGUUUUAAACAUCUGAAGCCUUGGCACGUUCGGUGGCAGAUUUCUGUGAGGUGUGUGCAGUAACAGACCUGGAAUCACGGAGCUGCCCGGGGUCCUCCAGCGCGCGAAGAGCUGCGGAGCUGCCUGUGCUCGAGGAGCGGGCUUCGCUGCAGUGCUCCAGGUCAGGGCUAGCCUGCAGCAGGGCUCCUGGGUAACGCUCUAGUGGUGCCAGCAGCAGAGACAAUGGCCUUGGAUGCCUGUGAUGGCAGCUUUGGUUGCUGUAACAGCCGUGGUGCUGUACCCAGGCCUAACCAGAGCUUCUCCAUGAGAACUGUUGUUGAAUCCAUACACCGUCCUCCCUUUAGAAGCUGGCAACAUUCAUAUACUGAGGGAAAACAGAUUAAUUCUCUUCCUUUUUACCUCUUAAUACAGCACAGCUCUGCGUGAGAACAGCAGUAGGGUCAUUUGCUUUAAACUGUAUAAAAUGUAUCUGUCUAUAAAGAGGGAAUAAAAUUGUGAUUCAUCAUUCUGUGAGCAAUAUUUUUGCUUACAACUUCAUGCAAGUUUUAAAUUAGUAUGUUGGGGUUCUGAAUACUAUAAUGGUGGCCUAAAGCAGGCUUCUUGGUACCAAAUUAUUUAUAAUGACUAGGGUCGUGGACACUGACUUUAGAAUCUGAUUGAUAGACUUAAGAGGAAAAUACUGAUUUGGACAUCCAAGCCAAGUAACCUUGCAGAUACUUGGGAAACAGAUGCAGUGUGCUCAGUGCCUUUCAGUAUGAUCUAUUUUUUUUUAAACUAGUGUAUCAUUUUACUUGCUGUUAGUCACUGAGCUGUUGGGAACAAGACUUAAGAAAACUUCUCUUAGUACGCCUUUCAAAGGAAGCAUAUUUUUCUUCCAUAAGGAUUGCUUUAUUAAUGGGUUUUGGGAAUAAACACAAUUCAUGUCCAGCCUUAAAGAGAUAGAGAUACUGAUGGUGAAGACCAGCCUAAAGUUUUUAGUGUGCGCGUGUGCGAGUGCAAGCAUGUGUGUGUUCUUGAGUGACCUAAGGUGUUUCUGGGAGCAAGUACUGGGUCAUAUGAUGGACAUAGUGCAUUGAUUCAACUUAUGUUAACUUUAGUUUGAAUGUAAUUUAUUAAAUUUCAUAUAUUUAAAGAGAUACAUUCUUUAAAAGUAUGAAUACCUUCUCACAUAUCACAUGUAUCAGUUUAUUUUUUCAGUCAUUUGAUACCUUCUGACUUGAGCUGGAGAAGCUCUUUAGAAUAAGCUUUUGUGGACGUAACUUUAUUAAGAGAACUGCUACAGUACGUCUGUGAUAGCUGAGAAAAUCUAGAUACAUAAAAUACUACAGAAUUGGAAUCAUAUACCUGAUGAAACAUUGUCAGGUGAAGAUGAUUUUAAUUUGGUAGUAAAAUUUUGUGGCUCCUUAUCACAUGGCUGUAAGUAUGAUGCAGUGGUCCCCAUUACAAAGUUUAUUUUCUUUAUCUAAGUACUAUAACUAUUGCUAUUUGCUGACUUUUGGUGGGAAUCACUGUCGUUAGUGCUGAAUUAAAUGUAGACAGUAGUUGUCUUGUUCAGCUCAACAGUUCUGUCAAAAAAGUUUAUUAAAGACUUAAAUAAUAUGUUAAAGAAUGGUAAAGUAAAUAAUAUGGCUCUGCUAAAGGAAACUUCAAAAUAGGGAGGUCAUCUCAGCAAUUCAAUUGGCUUUAAAGAAUGUUUUGGCAAUCAACAGAUAGCUUAAAUAUUUAAAUAGAAAUUUAGUAUAUAAUUUACUUUGUGAGGUUUUAAGGGUCAUUGUCAUUUAAUUAAAGGUUCUAUCUUAAGUUACAUGGGAUUUGCUAAUGGGAGGAUUAUUAGUUGGAGAAAAUAGUCCACAAGUGACUUGUAGAAAAUAACUAUUGUCAUUUAGUUCAUUCAUUUCAUCCUUUUCAUCCUUUUCAGUUGCAGGAAGCCACCCAACCACAGAACACUCGUAUGCCAGUGGUACCUAGUACCUCUUGUAUAUAGGUUAUUGCAAAUAUUGUUCUGAAAUGCUUAACUUCAGAAUUACAUUUUUUAAGUAAUUAAUUGUUUUAAAUCUAUUUUGUAAAGAUAUAAAAAUACAAUAGAAUUUCUGGAGUACAGAUUAAACUAUUUGCACUAACACACGUGAUGUGCAUGAUUUAAUAAAAUAACUUUACUCUCCCUAUGCAUGUUUGAGUUGAAUGUCAUUUGAAAACAAGAGAUUCAUGCUAAGUUUCUUUUGCACUAGAUAUUGCCACAGUUACUAGGCACAAUGUCUGCAGCAUGUCCAGUGAGAACAAAAGACUUUUUUUUUUUUUACCUUUUCUUUCACAUUUGUGCUGGUUUAAGUUUUGGUCUAGCUGAUCCCUCUGUCUGUGGUGUUCAGAAGGAAGUGGGGUAGGAGAGUGAUGGAAGGCUUGGGAGCGCAUUGCCGUGGAGGAGGAAGAGGUGCUGGAGCUGCAGGGUGGAUGUGCCCGUGGCAGGGGUGGUGAUUUGGGAGCAGCAGUGGCUGCAGGUCCUGGGCAAUAGAGGAAAGCCCUGCUGGGGGAAGGGAGCCUGAUGCUGCCUCCUCACCUCUUGAGCAUCUCUAACUCCCUGUGUGUCCCUGUGUCAGCUGUGUCUUUUGCAGUGCAUUCCCUCCCCUCCUCCCUGCAGGUAGCCUGAGGAGGUGGGGGUCCCUCCCAGAGCCCUGGAAGCAGGGAAGGUGCCACAUUCCCUGGGGGCACCUGGGGGGGCCCUGCACCACAGCAGCUCUGCCUGGGCCUUCAGUUGUCCUUGUUUUGAAGACAAAUAUUGUGUUUUCCAAAAUCUUUAGCACGUCAGAGAGCUGCAGUUUGAGGCUGAACAUGGUUGUAUUAAAGGAGAAAUAUUUCUAAUUUCCUGACAUGCAUGUAUGCAUAUUUAUACUCUAUACACAGGUGCAUAGUACACAUUGCAUGGGGGCUUGUGCUUACAGAUAUACCUGUGGUUCCCUAAUACAGUGCCUUUUCCAGGAGUUCUUGACAUUUGCAUGCUCAAAAUGAUGAGGAAUGAGCUAAAAUGCACAGUUCACUCUUCUGUUGUGAGAAUCCCUGGAGAAGGGUUGGGUAACUGGGAAGGUGCUGUUCUUCAGUGCUUUGAUACUAAAACACCAAGUGGAGUUAUUUUGCAAGGAUUCCUUGCACAAAUCUUUCUGGGUUUUUAUUGGGUUUUUUUUUCAUGGUGAAUGUGUGAGCUCUUUUACAUUCAUAUUUAGGUUCUUUCUUCUGCUAGGCUUGAUUAGCUAAGCCUUGGAGUUACUAUACCAAGCAGCUUUUCACACAUGUGAGAUGCUCCACUUGUAAAACAAGUGCUCUGAGCUUGCACUGAAGUUCAAGGUUUUAAAAAGGUUCCUCAUAGUAGCAAAGUUAGAGAGUUGUUUUAUCAGUUGCUAGUUCAAUUUGGAAGAUUUAGUAUCAGUCUUAGAAUAUCUGAACACUUCUUCAGAUUUGUCCUGGUGUCUUGAGUGAGGCACCUUUUUUAAAUUCUAAAAGAAUUUACCUACGUGGGGACAACAGUAUCAGGCCUUUUAUUUAAAAAUACAAAUAUGUGAAAAAUAUAGUGUGAUUUUCCUGUUCCUUAUAGCUGAAUUAAAUGCGUUCUUCCAGAGUCUUUGCCUCAUCCUUUUUGCAGAAUGUCUGGAUUUUUUGGUGCUAAAUGUGGAAUUGUGAGCCUGCACAAUCUAUUGCAAGAGUUCUCAUAAAACAGUGAGAAUUAGUAUCAGAUAACUGAUAGCUGAAGCAAAGGUAAUCAAUCACCUGUGCAUGUAUUUUUGGGGUAUAUCCCUAAGUUAUUUUUCUAAUCAAGUCUUCUGAAGUAUGUUACCUGUUCCAGAUUUGUGUGCUUUAUGUAAGAUUUUGAAUGUCUCCUGCCUUAAUCCAUAGGGUUCUGCCACUUGCAAGAAUCAUUUCUUUGGCUUGAAUCUUUUCCAUGACAAAUCCACUGCCAAAUUCAUUCCACCAGCAGCAUCUGAGUGCUCUAAAACACCAGGUCACCACUAUGGCUUUUGGGAAGCCACUGUCCUUUGCACUGGCUCUGCAAGUGGGGCUGGCCAAGUUUCACCAGGGGCCUUUUUUCCCCUCUGGCUGCUCAUCCACCAUUAGUGUUUCAUUAGCAACUGCCUCAAAAGUUUGAGUCUCCUAUUUGAGUCUCCUAUUAGUAAUAGCAAUUGAUCAUAUAACAGAAUUAGAAGCCAUAUUCUUUCCUUCUCUCUUGCAUAUACCUCUGGGUCUGUUUGAAGAGUGAUUGCUUUCUGCAAACAGCUGCAUUGAAUUCCCCAGAUCCAGCUGUUUUGCUCAUCCCACUCCCUCUUUGCACAUGCUUAUGAACACAGAAUUCCUCUUUCUCCUCUGGUGGGGAAUUGGCUGCAGCAUACGGGAUUAUUUUCUGGGUUUUUACUUUGUACAAACUUGCUGAAAGUGAGCAGAGGUUUGUCCAACCAGAGCCAAGUUCUUCUGCUUGAAGAGAGGAGCUGCACCCAUUCCUGCUUAAAAGCUGGGUGCUACCAGUGUCUGACUAAGGGCUCCCAGCAGUAGAAGGUAAAUCAGCAAUUGAAACACAGGUUUUCAUUACAGGCUCAAGUUCCCAUUUGUAAAGGUAAGGGGAACUCAUCUGAUUAUUAAUCUGGAUAUCCCAAUCAUAAAACUUCAGUGUGAUUUCAGCAGCAGCAGCAGAAUGUCAAGAAGUUCAGCAUUUGUUAGAAAAAAAGAAUUCUUGCUUUGAGAACUUCAGGAGAAGGAUCAGUUGCCUCUGUAGAUAAGGUACGUGAGAAACUACUCUUCUCUCAGAAAAAAGCCCAAAGCAAUCCCCAGCCCUGUGUUUGAGUUCAUCUUGCUUUGGUGGAACUCCAGUACAGCUCUCUUGGAGGAUGUUCUUUUGCUGCAAAUCUUGUUCUGAUCUAGGGAUUUGACAUACCAUGAUCAUACCUUCCAAUCCUACUUUAUGUGAAUGAAUUUUUAAUUUUUUUUCUUCAUCCCCCUAGUUUUUGUUGUCAGCUUUUUAAACAAAUUUUAAUUUUCCAAAUGUUAUCUUUUGAAGAGUAGUUGCCAGAACAGAACAUGUCCUUACAGUUAUUACCAUACUAACAUUAUAUGAAUAGACAAUAAGCUUUAUAUCCUGCUUGGUAUUCUUACUUGAUUUUCCACCAGAACUUUUUUUUUGGGGGGUUCACUGACUUCUAGCUUCUAGAUUUAACCUUGUCAAUCAAAUCACGGUACUCCUCACAUCACCCCGGCAUGAGGUGCACCCUGUGGUAUCUGACUUUGCAGUAUUGUUUGGUAAAAACCACUGCAGGCAGCAGGCCCAAGCAGCAGCCUGUUCCCAUUGCUGUUCAGCACAGCACUGAAGGUUUUAUUCCCUUUAGGUUUCGUAGGGAUGACUCCUGAAGCUUUAUUCUAGACUAUUGAUCAUACACUUUUGAACAGUAGUGAGAGAAAAACUGAUCCCUGAAGGACAGUAGGGAAAAUAUUCAUAGAAUAAUUCCUUCAUUUAGUUUUUACAAACUGACAGCUGUUCUACUUUAUUAGUUAACAGUGAUAGUAGUGUAGCCAUCACUUUUAUUGGAAUAUCAUGAUUUACAGAAGUCUUGGUUUAAUAACACUAAUAAACCCAUUUUUUAGAAAACUUUGAAAAGGGCAAUUUUCUAAAUGCUUUGACAGGUAUGAAUUAUUUUACAUUCUUGAAUCUUUUGCUGACUGCUUCCUGUAGAUUGUUCUAUGAUUUGCUUACAUCUUAGAGUGAAGCAAAGCCAGUCCUUUUCCCAGGAUCAGACAUUUUACUGUCUUCCCUCAGCCCCAUCAUGUUGUUUGCACAUUUCUGACACCUCCCUCUCCAAGCACUUCAAAUUUGAGGUUGUUCAGGUGGCUGAGUUUCUCAGUGUGCUCAGUGGGCAUCAUUCCCAGAGCUGUUGUGUCUCACUCCAAGGCACUGAGGGAUGUGGAUGUGUGUCCGUGCUGUUCUGGGAUGGCGCUUGCAUGUGGUGGAGCAGGACGUGGUCACUGGUGUUCUGCAGCCACGAGAGAGAGUGGGGGUGUAAUUGAGAUUGGUGGGCAAGUGGUUCUCAGCUGUGGGGAUUGAGAUGUUGGCAGGGAGAGGUAGUUCCUCUGUUAUGUCAGGUGAGACUGAAAAUGCCAAUGUGCUGCCAAAGUUUGUCAUCCCUUCAUCGUGUCUGGUGAGCAAAUCCAAAGCCUGGGUUAAACUAAAAGCAAUGUUUUAUUACCUGAUCGUGUUAGUCAGUAAACUGAGACAAAAGAGUGAAGUCAUCUUUCUGUUCUAUUGGAAUAAAAUGUAACAAAAGCUUACUUGUAUUUGUUUCAGUUCCCACUGGUGGGACAUGGAUUUUUUUUUUGAGAAACACCGCGCACACACUAUGGUAAAGUACUGCCUUCAGUAUGGAAUGAAUUUGCUAUUUUAAUCUUUUCAUGCUAGAUCAUUUAUGAAGUUUAUAUUCUAUUUAUAUUUCUUGUAAGGAGUUCUUGCUCUGGAAAAUAAUUUUAUUGAGUAUGUCAUCAGUUUUGAUGUGACAAAACUACUUCUUGUCUUGAAUACAGUGGCUCUUACUUUAAAAAUGUUCCAAAUAUGCAAUAUGUCUUUUGGGAUGAAUAAAUGGUAAAAAUUA